GACGAACGCUGGCGGCGUGCUUAACAUAUGCAAGUCGAACGGAAAGGCCCUGCUUUUGUGGGGUGCUCGAGUGGCGAACGGGUGAGUAACACGUGAGUAACCUACCCUUGACUUUGGGAUAACUUCAGGAAACUGGGGCUAAUACCGGAUAGGAGCUCCUGCUGCAUGGUGGGGGUUGGAAAGUUUCGGCGGUUGGGGAUGGACUCGCGGCUUAUCAGCUUGUUGGUGGGGUAGUGGCUUACCAAGGCUUUGACGGGUAGCCGGCCUGAGAGGGUGACCGGCCACAUUGGGACUGAGAUACGGCCCAGACUCCUACGGGGGGCAGCAGUGGGGAAUAUUGCACAAUGGGCGGAAGCCUGAUGCAGCAACGCCGCGUGCGGGAUGACGGCCUUCGGGUUGUAAACCGCUUUCGCCUGUGACGAAGCGUGAGUGACGGUAAUGGGUAAAGAAGCACCGGCUAACUACGUG
rnacentral:rRNA from 1 species